rnacentral:rRNA from 1 species
CCUACGGGCGGCAGCAGUGGGGAAUAUUGCGCAAUGGGCGAAAGCCUGACGCAGCGACGCCGCGUGAGGGAUGAAGGUCUUCGGAUCGUAAAGCUCUGUCAGCAGGGAAGAACGGUUACUGUGCUAAUCAGCAGUGAAUUGACGGUACCUGCAAAGGAAGCACCGGCUAACUCCGUGCCAGCAGCCGCGGUAAUACGGAGGGUGCGAGCGUUAAUCGGAAUUACUGGGCGUAAAGCGCUCGUAGGCGGUAUGUUAAGUCAAGGGUGAAAUCCCCGGGCUCAACGUGGGAACUGCUUUUGAGACUAGCAAACUAGAGUGAGUGAGAGGAAAGUGGAAUUCCAGGUGUAGGGGUGAAAUGCGUAGAUAUAUGGAGGAACAUCAGAGGCGAAGGCGACUAUCUGGGACUUAACUGACGCUGAGGGGCGAAAGCGUGGGUAGCAAACAGGAUUAGAUACCCGGGUAGUC